GACGAACGCUGGCGGCGUGCCUAAUACAUGCAAGUAGAACGCUGAAGGAGGAGCUUGCUUCUCUGGAUGAGUUGCGAACGGGUGAGUAACGCGUAGGUAACCUGCCUGGUAGCGGGGGAUAACUAUUGGAAACGAUAGCUAAUACCGCAUAAUAGUAGAUGUUGCAUGACAUUUGCUUAAAAGGUGCAAUUGCAUCACUACCAGAUGGACCUGCGUUGUAUUAGCUAGUUGGUGGGGUAACGGCUCACCAAGGCGACGAUACAUAGCUGACCUGAGAGGGUGAUCGGCCACACUGGGACUGAGACACGGCCCAGACUCCUACGGGAGGCAGCAGUAGGGAAUCUUCGGCAAUGGACGGAAGUCUGACCGAGCAACGCCGCGUGAGUGAAGAAGGUUUUCGGAUCGUAAAGCUCUGUUGUAAGAGAAGAACGAGUGUGAGAGUGGAAAGUUCACACUGUGACGGUAUCUUACCAGAAAGGGACGGCUAACUACGUG
rnacentral:rRNA from 1 species